rnacentral:rRNA from 1 species
CCACACCUAAAACUUUCCACGUGAACUGUCGUUAUUUGUUGUGUGUGUGCGCGUUGCUGGCGUGCGUUUGCUUACGCUUCGGUGUUUGCGAGUGCGUGCUGUCGGUGCGCGGACUGAACGAAGGUCGUGUGUUUGCUGUGUGCCUGCUGCACCGCUGACUUUGCAUUCAUUUGCAUGGUCUUGGCGGAGCGGCGGGUGCUGUGCGUGCGCGGCUGACUUAUCUUUUUCAAACCCCAUACCUAAAUGACUGAUUAUACUGUGAGAACGAAAGUUCUUGCUUUAAACUAGAUAACAACUUUCAGCAGUGGAUGUCUAGGCUCGCACAUCGAUGAAGAACGCUGCGAACUGCGAUACGUAAUGCGAAUUGCAGAAUUCAGUGAGUCAUCGAAAUUUUGAACGCAUAUUGCACUUCCGGGUUAUGCCUGGAAGUAUGUCUGUAUCAGUGUCCGUAAAUCAAACUUGCGUUUCUUCCUUCCGUGUAGUCGGUGGAGGAGAGUUGCAGAUGUGAAGUGUCUCGCUGUGGUUGGCGUUCGUUAUUUGUAAUGAAUGCAGAGCUUGCGAGUCCUUUUAAAUGGACACGACUUUCUCUUUUUUGUAUCUGCGCGGUGCUGUGCGUGAAACGCGGUGGUUUUCGGAUCGCUCGCGGCUGUCGGCGACUUCGGUGAAUGCAUGAUGGAGUGGACCUCGAUUUCGCGGUAUGUUGGGCUUUCGGCUGGACAAUGUUGCUUUAUUGGGGUGUCUGUUC